UCUGAACAGUUUCCAGGUCCUCUACUAAAACUCCCAGCACUGUGUCCUCCCCUGCCCUCUUUACAUGUCCAAACCAUCGGAGUCUUUCCCUUCUGAACACUGUUUCCAGGUCCUCUACUAAAACUCCCAGCACUGUAUCCUCCCCUGCCCUCUUUACAUGUCCAAACCAUUGGAGUCUUUCCCUUCUGAACAGUUUCCAGGUCCUCUACUAAAACUCCCAGCACUGUAUCCUCCCCUGCUCUCUUUACAUGUCCAAACCAUCGGAGUCUUUCCCUUCUGAACAGUUUCCAGGUCCUCUACUAAAACUCCCAGCACUGUAUCCUCCCCUGCCCUCUUUACAUGUCCAAACCAUCGGAGUCUUUCCCUUCUGAACAGUUUCCAGGUCCUCUACUAAAACUCCCAGCACUGUAUCCUCCCCUGCUCUCUUUACAUGUCCAAACCAUCGGAGUCUUUCCCUUCUGAACAGUUUCCAGGUCCUCUACUAAAACUCCCAGCACUGUAUCCUCCCCUGCUCUCUUUACAUGUCCAAACCAUCGGAGUCUUUCCCUUCUGAACAGUUUCCAGGUCCUCUACUAAAACUCCCAGCACUGUAUCCUCCCCUGCUCUCUUUACAUGUCCAAACCAUCGGAGUCUUUCCAUCUGAGCACUGUUUCCAGGUCCUCUACUCCACAUCUGUUAGCCACAUAAUUUUCAAAGGCAGCCUGGGUAUUAGGUCAUUAUAAUUAUCAGUAGUUCCCUAUAUGCAUCUGUCCAGCUGCAGAACUAAGGAAAAGAUUUGAAGAAAGUGUGAGAUCUGACAGACAGUUCACCACACACACACUCUUGCACUCUCUGGUAGAAGGAAUCAUGAAUGCCAAACCGUGAGAGUGACAGGCUUGGCAUUCAUGAUUUCUUUCAACCAGUGAGUGACAAACCUACGAGGAGAGACCAUCAACUCACCACUGGCAGCUGGAAUGAUGUUGCUGGUGCCUGCUUGAACAUUACCUUUAACCCGUCCGCUGCGACUGGCACGGAUUUUGCCUUCACUGGUAGCCCGGUAACAUACACUCCCAGGUCUUCCUCUGCCUCUGUGGUGGAUAGUGGAGUGUUUCCCAUGUGGUAUUGGCAUGCUGGAUAUCCCUUCACUGGUAGCCUGGUAACAUACACUCCCAGGUCUUCCUCUGCCUCUGUGGUGGAUAGUGGAGUGUUUCCCAUGUGGUAUUGGUGUGCUGGAUAUCCCUUCACUGGUAGCCUGGUAACAUACACUCCCAGGUCUUCCUCUGCCUCUGUGGUGGAUAGUGGAGUGUUUCCCAUGUGGUAUUGGUGUGCUGGAUAUCCCUUCACUGGUAGCCUGGUAACAUACACUCCCAGGUCUUCCUCUGCCUCUGUGGUGGAUAGUGGAGUGUUUCCCAUGUGGUAUUGGUGUGCUGGAUAUCCCUUCACUGGUAGCCUGGUAACAUAAAC